AGUGCUGUCGGGAAGGCCACUGGAGUCAUACGCAAGUAGGUCUGAUGCUGAUUCUCCUGCCCCCCUCACAGGGCAGUGAUGUGGAACCAAGUGAGACAGUGCACAGAAAAGCAUUUUAUUGGCUGAACAGCCCUGUGAUAACUACGAGAGGGUCCUCCAGGCCUGGGCCUCCAGCCACCUCCUGUCAGAGCUAAUCAAGCCAGCACCAACUCAGCAACUCCCUGGACAGACCCUCCAGGAGCAACUGAAAGCCUCUCAGUAGAGAACUGCCCUUGCUACCCUCAGACUAAUAAAGGAGGAAAGACCCUAAGUGCCUUAUCCACACCUCCAACAAGCUGCAGUUAAUCCAAGGAGAGGCCAGUCUGUCUCCCACGGGUCCCACACCAUCCUCCCUCCAUGGCUAGUCACCAGACAGGGAAUCUCUGGCUUGGGCUCACAGCACAGACCCUCCAUCUUGGGCUGACUGUACUGAGUGAUUGCUAACCUGCAUCUUCCUGGGGUGGAGCCCCCAGGAGUCAAUAAAAUGACCCUUGGCCACACCACCACUAAGAUCUCUUCCUCUAUGGCCUCUAAGCUGAGGAAGGAAUAUAAACACUGAGAUUGCCCCAGAGCUGCAGUGAGCAGCCCAGAAGUGCCAAGUCACGAACUACAGCCAGAACUAAAGGGUGGAGAGGUAUCCACACUUUCAGAGCACUAAGAGGUAAAACAGCUCCAACUGUGAGGAAACAUAGGGAAACCACCCAACCAAGCAAGAGUCUACCAACUGACCAAUAGGCCUAAGUGUCACCUUCUGGAUCACACUCCAAAGCUUCAACACCAAAAAUAUCUCACUAACAUAACCCCUUCUGAAACCAGAGACAAGAAGUCAGCUUCAAAUAAAGACCCUCACAAAGCCUUGGCCUAGUGAAAACAUCCAGAAAAGAAGUCUAUUUGACUGUAUUCAUCUACACUACAGUUAAAGGAACACCCACAUGCAGAGAUGAGAAAGAAUCAAUGCAAGAACUCUAGUAACUCAAAUGGCCAGAGCGUCCUACAUCCUCCAAAUAACAGCACCAGUUCUCCAACAAGAGCUCUUAACCAAGCAAGCUCGAACUUGCUGGAAUGACAGAAAUAGAAUUCAGAAUAUGGAUAGGAAUGAAGAUCAUCAAGAUUCAGGAGGAUGGCAAAACCCAAUCCAAGGAAAAUAAGAAUCACAUUAAAGUGAUACAGAAGUUGAAGGAUAAAACAGCCAGUAUAAGAAAAGAACCUAAUGAGUCUGAAAGAGCUAAAUAACACAAUACAAGACAUUCACAAUUCAAUCACAAGUAUUAACAGCAGAAUAAACCAAGCUAAGGGAAGAAUCUCAGAACUUGAAGACUGGCUUUCUGAAACAAGACAGUCAAAAAUAAGGAAAAAAAAAAAACUAAAAAGGAAUGAACAAAACCUCCAAAAAAGUAUGAGAUUAUAUAAAGAGGCAAAAUCCACAAAUCAAUGGCAUCCCUGAAAGGGAGGAGGAGAAAGCAAACAACUUGGAAAACAUAUUUCAGGAUAUCAUCCAUGAAAAUUUCCCCAACCUUGCUAAAGAGGCCAACAGUCAAAUUCAGGAAAUACAGAGAACUCCUGCAAGAUUCUACACAAGAAGAUCAUUCCCAAGACACAUAAUUGUUAGAUUUUCAAAGGUCAAAAUGAAAGACUGUUAAAGGCAGCUAGAGAGAAAGGGCAGGUUACCUACAAAGGGAUCCCCAUCAGGCUAACAGUGGACCUCUCAGCUGAAACCCUACAAGCCAGAGAGAUUGAGGGCCUAUAUUUAACAUUCUUAAAGAAAAAAAUCUUCAACCAAGAACUUCAUAUGCAGCCAAACUAAACUCCCUAAGUGAUGGAGAAAUAAGAUCCUUUUCAGAUAAGAAAAUGUUGAAGGACUUCAUUACCACCAGAUCUGUCUUACAAGAGAUCUUGAGAGAAGCACUAAAUAUAAAAAGGAAAGAUCACUACCAGCUAAUCCAAAAAUACAUGUAAACACACAGACCAGUGUCACUGUAAAGCAGCCACACAGUAAGCCAACAUAAUAACCAGCUAACAGCACAAUGACAGGAUCAAAUCCACACAUAUUAAUAUGAACCUGGAAAGUAAACAAGCUAAAUGCCCCACUUAACAGGCAUAGAGUGAGAAACUGGAUAAAAAAGAAACAUCUAUGGUAUGUAUGCUGUCUUCAAGAGACCCAUCUCACAUGUAAUGACAAAAUAAAGGGAUGGAGAAAAAUCUACCGAGCAAAUGAAAAACAGAAAAAAGCAGGGGUUGCAAUCUUACUUUCAGACAAAACUCAUUUCAGAUCACAAAGAUCAAAAAAGACAAGGAAGGGCAUUACAUAAUGAUAAAGGUUUCAAUUCGACAAGAAGGCCUAACUAUCCUAAAUAUAUAUGCACCCAACACAGGAGCACCCAGUUUUAUAAAGCAAGCUCUUAGAGACCUACAAAGAGACAUAGGCUCCCACACAGUAAUAGUGGGAGACUUCAGCAGUCCACUGACAGCAUUAGAUGGAACAUCCAGGCAGAAAAUUAACAAAGACAUUCAGGAUGGUAACUCAGCAUUGGACCAAACGGAUCCAAUAGACCUUUACAGAAGGUUCUACCCAAAACAACAGAAUAUACAUUUAUCUCAUCACCACAUGACACAUACUUUAAAGUCAACCACAUAAUUGGACAUAAAACAAUCCUCAACAAAUAGAACCAAAAUCAUACCAAACACAUUCUCAGACCACAGUGCAAUAAAAAUACAAGUCAACACACUGAAAAUUGCUCAAAAUCAUACAAUUACAUGGAAAUUAAACAACGUGCUACUGAAUGACUUCUGGGUAAAUAAUGAAGUUAAGGCAGAAAUCAAUAAGCUCUUUUAAAAUAAUGAGAACAAAGAUACAACAUAUCAGAAUCUCUGGGACACAGCUAAGGCAGGGUUAAGAGAGAAAUUUAUAGCACUAAAUGCCCACAUCAAAAAGCUAAAAAAAAAAUCUCAAAUUAACAACUUAACAACUGAAAGAAUCAAAGAAGCGAGAACAAAUUAACCCCAAAGCUAGCAGAAGAUGAGAAAUAACAAAAAUCAGAGUUGAACUGGAGGAAAUCAAGACAGAAAAAUAUUCAAAAGAUCAACAAAUCCAGGAGUUGUUUUUUUGAAAAAAAAUCAAUAAAAUAGGCCACUACCUAGCCUACUUAAGAAGAAAAGAGAGAAGAUUCAAAUAAACACAAUUAGAAGUAAUGAAGCAAAUGUUACAACUGACCCCACAGAAAUGCAAACAAUCAUCAGAAACUACUAUGAACAUUUCUAAACACACAAACUAGAAAACCUAGAAGAGAUGGAUAAAUUCCUGAACACAUACACCCUCCCAAGACUGAGCCAGGAAGAAAUUGAUUCCCUGAACAGACCAAUAAUGAGCUCUGAAAUUGAAUCAGUAAUAGCCUACCAACAAAAAAAAAAGCCCAGGACCUGAUAGAUUCACAGCCGAUUUCUAUAAGGUGUACAAGGAAGAGCUGGUACUAUUCCUACAGAAACCAUUCCAAAAAAUUGAGGAGAAGGAACUUCUCUGCAACUAUUUCUAUGAGGCCAGCAUCAUUUGAUACCAAAACCCAGCAGAACACAACAAAUAAAGAAAACUUCAGGUCAGUACCCUUGAUGAACAUCAGUGCAAAAAUUCUCAAUAAAACACUUGCAAACCAAAUCCAGCAGCACAUCAAAAAGCUAAUUCACCACAAUCAAGUAGGCUUAAUCCCCAGGAUGGAAGGUGGGUUUGACACACAAAUCAAUAAAUGUGAUCCAUCACAUAAACAGAACUAAAGACAAAAACCACAUGAUUAUCUCAAUAUAUGCAGAAAAGGCUUUUGAUAAAAUCUAACAUCCCUUCAUGUUAAAAAAACUCUCAACAAACUAGGUAUUGAAGGACCAAACCUCAAAAUAAUAAGAGCCAUCUAUGACAAACCCACAACCAACAUUAUACAAAAUAAACAUAAGGUGGAAGGGUUCACCUUGAAAACUGGCGCAAGACAAGGAUGCCUUCUCUCACCACUUCUAUUCAACGUAGUAUUGGGAGUCCUAGUCAGAGUAAUCAGGCCAGAGAAAGAAAUAAAGGACAUCCAAAUAGGAAGAGAGAAAGUCAAACUAUCUCUGUUUGCAGAUGACAUUAUUCUAUAUCUAAAAAGCCCCAUAGUCUCAGCCCAAAAAGCUCUUUCAACUGAUAAACAACUUCAGCAAAGUUGCAGGAUAAAAAAAUCAAUGUACAAAAAUUACUAUUAUUCCUAUACAACUACAACAACCAAACAGAACCAAAUCAGAAUGGCAAUCCCAUUCACAAUUGCCAUACACACACACAAAAUAAAAUACCUAGGAAUACACCUAACCAGGAAAAUGAAAGAUCUCUACAAUGAAACUUACAAAACACUGUUCAAAUAAAUCAGAGAAGACACAAGCAAAUGUAAAAGCAUCCCCUUCUCAUGGAUAGAAAGAAUCAAUAGUAUUAAAAUGUCUACAGUGCCCAAAGCAAUUUACAGAUUCAAUGCUAUUCCUAUAAAAAUACCAAUGACAUUCUUCAUAGAACUAGUAAAAAUAUUUUAAAAUUUAUAUGGAACCAAAAAAGAGCCUGAAUAGCCAAGGCAAGCCUAAGCAGAGGAGGAAUCACAUUACCUGACUUCAAACUAUACCACAAAGCUACAAUGACCAAAACAGCACGUUACUGGUACAAAAACAGACACACAGACCAAUGGAACAGAAUAGAGAGCCCAGAAAUAAGGCUGAACAUCUACAACCAUUUGAUCUUUAACAAAGCUGACAAAAACAAGCAAUGGAGGAAAGACCUUAUUCAAUAAAUGGUGCUGGGAUAACCAGCUAGCCAUAUGCAGAAGAUUGAAGAUGGACGCAUUCCUUAUGCCAUAUACAAAAAUCAUCUCAAGAUGGAUUAAAGACUUAAAUGUGAAACCCAAAACUAUAAAAACCCUGAAAGACAACCUAGGCAAUGGCAUACUGGACUCAGGAAUAGGCAAAGAUUUCACGACAAAGACACCAAAAGAAAUCACAACAAAAGCAAAAAUUGACAAAUGGGAUCUAAUUAAAUUUAAGAGCUUCUGCAUUGCAAAAGAAACUAUCAGCAGAGUAAACAGACAACCUACAGAAUGGGAGAAAAAUAUUUGCAAACUAUGCAUCUGACAAAGGUCUAAUAUCCAGCAUCUUUAAAAAACUUAAUGAUAUUUACAAGAGAAAAACAAACAACCCCAUUAAAAAGUGAGCAAAGGACAUGAACAGACACUUCUCAAAAGAAGACAUACAUGCAAACAACAAACAUAUGAAAAAAAGCUCAAUAUCACUCAUCAUUAGAGAAAUGCACAUAAAAACCACAAUGAACUACCAUCUCACACCAGUCAGAACGGCUAUUGUUAAAAAGUCAAAACAUAACAGAUGCUGGUGAGGUUGUGGAGAAAAGGGAACCUUUACACACUGUUGAUGGGAGUGUAAAUUAGUUCAACCAUUGUGGAAAGCAGUAUGGUGAUUCCUCAAAGAGCUAAAAGCAGAACUACCAUUUAACCCAGCAGUCCCAUUACAGGGUAUAUACCCUGAGGAAUAUAAAGCAUUCCACCAUAAAGACACAUGCAUGCAAAUGUUCAUUGCUGCACUGUUCACAAGAGCAAAGACAUGGAAUCAACCUAAAUGCUCAUCAAUGACAAAUUGGAUAAAGAAAAUGUGGUAGAUAUACACCAUGGAAUAUUAUGCAGCCAUAAAAAAGAAUGAGAUUAUGUCCUUUGAGGGAACAUGGAUGGAGCUGGAAGCUAUCAUCCUUAGCAAACUAAUGCAGCAAGAGAAAACCAAAUACUGCAUGUUCUCACUUAUAAGUAGGAGCUAAAUGAUAAGAACUUGUGAACACAAAGAAGGAAACAACAAAUACUGGGGUCUACUUGAGGAGGGAGAAGAGCAGAAAAGAGAACUAUUAGGUGCUAAGCAUAAUAUAAUACCUGAGUGACAUAACAACAACAAACAAACCCCUGUGACAUGUGUUUAUCUAUGUAACUGUGAACCCCAAAAACCUGAGACAGGUCUCAUUUAAUUUUAAAAAGUUUAUUUUGCCAAGGUUGAGGCCACACACCUGUGACACAGCCUCAGGAGGUCCUGACACCAUACGCCCAAGAUGGUCAGAGCACAGUUUGGUUUUACACAUUCUAGGGAGACAUGAGACAACAAUCAACAUAUUCAAGAUGGACAUUGAUUCGAUCUGGAAAGAUGGGACAACUCAAAGGCAGGAAAACUCAAAUCAGGGAGGAGGCUAGGUCAUAGGUAGCUAAGAGACAAAUGGUUGCAUUCUUUUGAGUUUCUGAUUAGCCUGUCCAAAGGAGGCAAUAAGAUAUGCAUUUAUCUCAGUGAGCAGAGGGGUGACUUUGAAUAGAAUGGGGGGCAGGUUGGCCCUAAGCAGUUCCCAGCUUGACUUUUCCCUUUAGCUUAGUGAUGUGGGGGCCCAAAGAUCUAUUUUCCUUUCACAUAGCAAACCUUCAUAUGUACCUCCAAACCUUAAAUAUUUUGAAAAAAAAUUUAGAGGUCUCUUCCGCAAUUCUGGGACCACAAAUGCCAGAAAACUUCCAAAUACUUCACCCUCACAAAAGUAUGAGCUUUAAGAUCUGGACUUUGCCCUACUGGAUAUCUCCAUUCCAUUCUAAGAAAUAGGAAGGAAUUGCUAAAAUAUGAGGGGUUUCUGACAAUAAACCUCAAUAUAAUCAGUGAAUACUUCCUGAGCACCUGCCUUUUGUCAUGCUCUGGUCAAGGAACUGAGUGUAGAGAUGAAUAUAAAAUGUAAUCUCUGACAUCAGUGAUUUCAUUAGGUAGCACAGGACACUAAGCCAGUAUCUGCCACUUUAUCAGCCUUCCAGCUAUGUCUGCUCUAGCCUUUAAAUCAGAGUGUGUCCAGAUAAUAAAUCAAAUGUUUACACGUGUGGAAGGAAAGAGUACCAGUAGGGAUUUUUUUUACUCUUAAUCACUCAUUUGAGCACACAUAGUACCUGGAAAGAAAAAAGAAAUCUCUUUUCUGUCUUUGCAUCACCAGAAAUUUGCCUUGCAGGAUCUGGUAUAGUCUAGCUGGCCAGGGGAUAAUGGUGGUUUGGGUUGGAAGAGGAGGAAGGGUUUCCUCCGUAGUUUAGGUUUGCUUCAGUUUCACCAGUGAUUGUUCUCAAAGGUCCCGAUAACAGAACCUCUCAACAUCUUUCCCCUAAAGAAACUAUGAUAACCUUGUAUCUUUAUGACAUGACCACUUACGCAUCCCAAUAAAACUGAGAGAAAUAAUAGCUUUCUUUAACGCUUCUCUAAGAGAACUCUUGUCUACUCUCAUUGACUCCCAGAUAUACAUCUCUAUCCCAGAUCCUUCUCCUGAUCACCAGACCUAUAAUGACUGGUGGACACCUCUAUGUGACUGUCAUGUGGCUGCUUAAAGUUCACCAUGCCAUAGACUGAACUCACUGUUUCUACCCCACCUUGAUCUUUCUAUUCUCGGUGACUAGCCGCAUUGUUCACUGGUUCCAUCCUCUUCCUCAUUCUUUAUUCAGUACUCUUCAUUUCCUAUGAAAUAACCCCAUAAUGCCCUACUGACUUCUUGUAUUCAUCCACUUCUUUCAAUCACCACUAGCACUACUUUGGUUCAGUCCACUGCUCUCUUUUGGAUUGUUGCUAUUCUCCCAAUUAGUGUCUCCACUUCUAGUCUUACCUGCUCUAGUCCAGUCUCCAAAGUCAUUUUUAUAAUUUAAAAAUCUGAGUAUGUAUCCUCCAUUUGAAGCACUUUAAUAGGACCCCCUUUAUCUUCAAAUAAAGUCCUUCACAUAAAUCACCACGCUUUCAUUAUAUGACCUGUUCAUCUCUCCAGCUUCACAUAGUGACACUCCCCACCUUAUUGUCCAUAAUCCAUACUAUUCCAAUUGUAGUUCUCCCAGUGGAAAAAAAAAAUUCUAUUGCCUCUGGAAUUUUUCACAUGCUGGCCAAAAUAUUUAUUCUUUGUCUUUUUUAUCUGUGCUCUCUCCCAGUUCCACUUUCCUUUUUUCCUGCUUACUCUUGCAAAAAAAAUCCUCCCUGAUACCUAGAGGACUACAUCUGUGUUGGUGUCUCUGAAAUUUACUCCCAUAGGGUGCUUGACUUACCCAAUAUUGUAGCCCAAACCCACUGAACUGACUGUAAAUGCUUUGGAAGGUGAACCAUGACAUGUUUGUUGUUAAUUUCCUGAUGACUAACAUACAGGAUGGCACAGAAUCAGACAUCAAGAAAGAUGAAUCAAAAGAGAAUGACAUCAGUAAGAUGGCAGAGUAGGAAGCCCUGGACCCUCCUUCUACCUACAAACACAAAUUCAGCAACAAUUUAUGGACAAAUUCCCUUUGUGAGAAAUCAAAAACUAAUUAAAAAGCUCCUGCACUCUGGAACAGCAUAAAAACAGACAUAGCAAAGCCUGUGGACAGAUUCAGGAUACUGUCUUGUCAGAGACCCUUGCCCCCAGUGCAGGGCCAUACAUUCAGGAAGAAACCCUGUAGCUUCCAGCUUCAUGCAGUCGAGGUAAGGAGCUGGUUGCACAUUCAGCACCCCAACAUUUCCAAGGGAGUCCCCAGAGGUUUGCCUUCUUUCUUGCUAGACCUGGUGCUCUAAUGGGUCUGGUAUAGUCUAGCUGGCCAGGGGAUAAUGGAGGUGGUGGCUUGGGUUGGUAGACAACAUUGAUUUCCUUCUCCCCCAACUCCAGUUGGCACAGAGUGAGCAGAUGAAAACUUUCAGCCCUCAGCUUCCCCCAGGGAGGAAAAGAGCUGAUCUGUGCAACCAGAGCUCCAACUUCUCCAGGGCUGCUCAAACUAUUGGCAUCUGUUUCACCAGUCUUGAAGCUCUGAUGUGUGCAGUACAGUCUAACUACCCAGGAGAGAACAAAUAUGCCAAUUUGGGUUGGUAGAUGCUAUAGUUUGACCACCCCACUCCACUCUCCAGCUCAGCACAGAAAGAGUGAACAAAGCCAUAGCUCCUGCUUCUCCCUGGGGAAGUAAAGAGGUAGUAGAUGUCCAUAAGAAUCACUGGCUGGGCUGAUGGGGGGUUGGGGGUGUAUUUUCCUGUAUGAAGCCAGUUCAUGAAGACUGUGAUAGCUGCCUGUUUUGUCUAAUAACCCUCGGAUAUCAACACAGGGAGUCAAGGAAAUUAAAUAAUUGGGCAAAGAUAUUUUUAAAAAGGGAAUUAAGAUACAUUUCCAAAGACUAACCCUAAUGAACUGGAGUUACAACUUCAUGAAGAUGUGGACUGAGUCAGUAAAACAUGCAUUUAAAAAGUGAGGAUUUCAACAGAGAGAUAAAACAUAUUUUAAAGUGCCAAAUAGAAAUAGAAAUGCAUAAUAGAUGAGCCAAAUAUUCACUGGAGGGGUUCAACAGCAGACUAGAUCAUGCAGCAGAAAGGAUCAGUGAACCCAAGCACAGGUCACUAGAAAUAAUUCAGUCAAAGAAACAAUAAGAAUUAAAAGAAAAAAUGGAGAAACUUAAGGGACUUAUGGAUCACCAUCAAGUGGGCCAACAUACAUAUUAGGGAUAUUUUAGAAGGAGGAGAGAGAAAGGACCAGAAAGAUUGUUCAAAGAAAUAAUGGCUGAAAACUUACCAAAUCUUGGGAAGAAAAUGGACAUUCAGAUCUAAGAAAUUCAAAAGACACCAAAUAAGAUAAACCCAAAGAAAUACAUACAAAUUUGUAAUCAAGUUGUUAAAAGUCAAAGACAAAGAGAACUUUAAAAACAGCAAGAGAAAAGUGACUUGUCACGUACAAGAGAACUCUAUAAGACUACCGGUGGGUUUUUAAGCAGAAAGUUUUCAGGUCAGAAGGGAGUGGGAUCAUAUAUUCAAUAUGCUGAAAAAAAACUGUCAGUGAAGAAUACUAUACUCAAAAAAUUUUUCUAUAAAAGUGACACAGAGUAGGAGGAUUCUGGAAAGGUGGUAGAGUAGGAAGCACUAGGAAUAGUAAUCUGUUUCCCCAUCUACACAAAAAUUACCCUGGACUAAUCUGUCUAAUGUAAUUAUUUUGGAACUCCAAAGUUCAUUGAAGGCUUGCAACUUCCAGCAGAAGGUUUGGAUGAUAAAUAUGGUUAAUGUCAGUCAAUUUCAGCUCUUAACACAGUAACAGCUACCCAUCUCCACCCAUACUCUCUCCCCGUGGGAGGUAGCCAGCACAUGAUCCUGGAGUAACUUUCACAAAGCUUUUGGGAGUCAUGGUACCAAAUAUCUGGUAUCUGUGCUGUGAUUUCUGAUUGCUGCUUCUGAUCACAACAGCGUAGACAAGGAGGUAGUGGCUAUUGUUGGACUUCCCUCCAUUGUUGCAAGCCCCAUCCUUUCUGGAUAAAGUGACUUCCAGGGCAUGUCACUAAUCAUCUGGGAAGUGCAUACUAAACCACAUUAAAAUGUCACCUCACACCUGCUAGAAUGACUAUUAUCCAAAAAAAAAAAAAAUAUAUAUAUAUAUAUAUAUGUAUAUACACACAUAUAUAUAAAACAAGUGUUGGUGAGGAUGUGGAAAAAUUGGAACCAUUUUACAUGGUUGGUGGAAACAAAUUAAUACAGGCAUUAUGAAAACAAUAUGGAGACCUAAAAAAAUUAAAAACAGAGCGAUCACAUGUUUCAGCAAUCCCACUACUGAGUACAUGUCCAAAGGAAAGAAAAUCAGUAUGUCAAAGGAGUAUCUGCAUUCCCAUGUUCAUUGCCGCACUAUUCACAAUAGCCAAGGUAUAAAAUUUACCUAAGUGUUCAUCAGUAGAUAAAUGGAUAAUGAAAAUAUGGUGUAUAUACACAAUGGAAUAUUAUUCAGCCUUAAAAAGAAGAAAAUUACAUCAUUUGUAAUAAAAUGGAGGAAGCUGGAAGACAUUACAUUAAGUGAAAUAAGCCAGUCACAGAAAGACAAACACUGCAUGAUAUUACUUAUAUGUAGAGUGUAAGAAAGUCAAACUCAUAGAAACGGAGAGUAAAAUGGUGGUUUCCAGAGGCUGAGGGGUGGAGAAAAUUAGGAAGAUGUUAGUCAAAACACACAAAAUUUCAGUGAGACAGCAGGAAUAAGUUCAAGAGAUUUAUCAUACAUCACAGAGACUACAGUUAAUAACAAUAUAUUGUAUACUUGAAAAUUGCUAAGAGAUUAAAGUGUUCUCAUCACAAAAAAAAUUAUAAGUAUGUGAGGUAAUGCAUAUGUUCAAUAGCUUGAUUUAGCCAUUCCCUAAUGAAUACAUAUAUCAAAACAUAGUGUUGUACACCAUAAAUAUUUAUAAUUUUUACUUGUUAAUUAAAAUAUUUUUUAAAAGAAAAGACAUUCUGACAUAUGCUACAAAAUAAAUCAACCUGAAAACGUUAUGCUAAGUGAAAUAAACCAGUCACAAAGACAACUAUUGUAGGUUUCAAUUUAUAUGGAGUAUUUAAAGUAGUCAAAAUCAUAGAGACAUAAAGUAGAAUGGUGGUUGCCAGGGGCUAGGGAGUGAAGGGAAUGGGGAGUUAUUGUUUAAUGGGUAUAGAGUUUCAGUUUUGCAAGAUUAAAAGUGUUCUGGAAAUGAAUAGAUGAUGAUAGAUGUACAACAAUAUGAGUGUACUUAAUACCACUGAAUGUACACUAAAAAUGGUUAAGAAGGUAAAUUUUAUGUUACAUGGAUUUUAACACAAUAAAAAAUUGAAAAAAAUAAAAGUAGGUAUAAAGACUUUCCCAGACAAACAAAAGUUCAGAGAGUUCAUCUUCAGUAGACCUGCCUUACAAGAAAUGGUAGAGUUCUUAGAGUUGAAACAAAAGGACACUAACCAGUAACAUGAUAGCAUAAGAAAAAGUAGAAAACUCAUUGGUAAAGGUAAAUAUGUAGACAAAUACAGAAUACUGCAUUACUGUAAUGGGGUGGAAAAUCACCCCAUUAAUUCUAGCAUAAAAGCUAAAAGACAAAGUAUGAAAAAUAAAUAUAACUAAAACCAUGAUAAAAGAUAUACAAUAUGAAUACACAUAAAUUGUGACAAGAAUAAUAUAUGAGGGGUUAAAGUGUAGAGUAUGUGAUUGAACUUAAGUUGUUAUCAGCUUAAAAUAGACUGCUAUAACCAUAUUUUAUGUAAGCCCCAAAGUAUGUAUGUAACCACAAAGAAGAUUUUUUAUGUAACCACAAUAAAGUCCCUAUAGAAAUUACACAAAGAAAAUAAAGAAUAAAAUCAAGCAUAUUAUCUUAGUUUAUUUGGGCUGCUAUAACAAAAUACCUUAGACUUGGCAAUUUACAAAUAACAGAAAUUUAUUGCUCACAGUUCUGCGGACUAGAAAGUCUGAGAUCAAGGCAUCAGCAGAUUCAGUGUCUGGUGAUGUGUCAGUCUCUGCUUCAAAGAUGAUGCUUGCUCACUGCACCCUCACAUAGUAGAAGGGGUGAAUAAGCUCCCUUAGGCCUCUUUUACAAAGGCACUAAUCCAUUCAUUAGGGUGGAGCCCUCAUUAUCCAAUCAUCUCCCAAAGGCUCCACACUUUAAUAUUAUUGAAUUGGGUAUUAGGAUUCAACAUAUAAAUUUUGGAGGGAAACAAACAUUCAGAUCAUAGCACAUAUUAAUGCAAAAACUUUACAAAACAUAAAGAAAGACAGCAAGAGAGAAAAAGAAAAGGGAACUACAAGACUGAGAGAAAACAACUAGUAAAUGCCUAUAGUAAAUCCUUUCCUAUCAAUAUUACUUUAAAUGUAAAUUGAUUAAAUUCCCCCAAUCAAAAGACAAACAGUGAGUAAUGGACUUUUUUUAAAGACCCAACUAUGUGCUGCCUACAAGAAACUCACUUUAGAUAUAAAAACACACAUAAGUUGAAACUGAAGCCAAGAAAAAAGUAUUCCAUGCAUAUGGUAAUCAAAAGAGAGUAGGAGUGGCUGUACUUAUAUCAGAAAAAUAGACUUGAAGUCAAAAAUUGUCAAAAGAGACAAAGAAGGACAUUAUAUGAUGAAAAGGGUCAGUCCAUAGGCUGUAAUACCAAUAUAAGAGCACUUAAAUAUAUAAAAUAUUGACAAAACUGAAGGGAAAAACAGACAGCAAUACAAUAAUAGUAGAAUUCAGUACCCUACUUUCAAUAAUGAACAGAAUAUCCACACAGAAGAUCAAUAAACAGAGGACCUCAAUCGCAUUAUAAAACAAAUGGACCUAACAGACAUGUACAGAACAUUCCAUCCAACAGCAGCAUAAUACACAUUAUUUUCAAGUACACAUGAUUCUUUCUGCAGAGCAGGUCACAUGUUAGGUCACAAAAUAAGUCAACAAAUUUAAAAAGAUUGAAAUCUUACCAAAGAUUGACCAUUAUGGUCAACCUUUUCUGACCACGAUGGAAUGAAACGAGAAAUCAGUAGCAGAAGGAAAACUGAAAAAUUCACAGAUAUAUGGAAACUAAACAACAUACUUAUAAACAACAAUUGAGUUACGAGGAAAUCAAAAGGAAAUUAGAAAAUAUCUCAAUACAAAUAAAAAUGAAAACACAACAUACCACUGCCUAUAGGGUAUAGCAAAAGCAGUAGUAAGAGAGAAGUUUAUGGUGAUGAACAUCUACAUUACAAAAGACAAAAUGUCUCAAAUAAACAACCUAACUUUAUACCUCAAGGAACUAGGAAAAAACAAUAAAUUAGUUCCAAAGUUAGCAGAAGGUAGGAAAUAACAGAUUAUUACCCAGAAAUAAAUGAGAGAGAAAAUAUAAAAACAAUAGAAAAAAAUCAAUGAAACUGAGAGUUGGUUUUUUAAAAGAUAAAUAAAAGUGACAAACUUGUAGCUAGACUAAGAAAAAACACUCAAAUAAAUAAAAUCAGAACUGGAAAGAGGAAACAUUACAACUCUUGCCACAGAAAUAAAAAGGAUCCUAACAGACUGCUAUGAACAAUAUCCAACAAACUGGAUAACCUAGAAGAAAUGAUAAAUUCCUAGAAACAUAUAACCUACCAAUACUAAACCAUAAGGAAAUAUAAAGUCAAAACCGACACAUAACUAGUAUGGAGAUUGAAUCAGUAAUCAAAAACCUCCCCAAAAAUCAAGCUCAAUACCUGUAGAGUCACUGGUAAACUCUAUCAAACAUUUAAAGAAGAAUUAAUGCCACUCCUUCUCAAACUCUUCCAAAAAAUUAAAGAGGAGAGAACACUUCCAAACUUAUUUUAUGAGGCUAGCAUUACCUUGAUUCCAAAGCCAGACAAAGACAACACAAGAAAGAAAACCUACAGGCCAAUAUUCUCAAUGAAUAUAGAUGCAAAAAAGCCUCAACAAAAUACUAGCAAACUGAAUUCAAUGGCACAUUAAAGGGAUUAUACACCAUGACCAUAUGAGACUUAUCCCAGAGAUGUAAGGAUGGCUUAAUGUCGAAAAAGCAAGUAAUUUAAUAUACUACAUUGACAUAAUAAAAAAUAAAAUCACAUCAUCAUUUUAAUAGAUGCAGGAAAGGCAUGUGACAAAAUUUGACAUUGUUUCAUGAAAAAAACUGUCAACAUACUAGGUAUAGGAGGAAUCUACUUCAACAUUAUAAAGGUCAUAUAUAAAAAGUCCAUAGCUCACAUUAUACUCAAUGGUGAAAAACUGAAAGCUUUUCCUCUAAGAUGAGAAACAUGGCAAGGAUGCCCACUCUUGCCAGUUCUAUUCAACAUAGCACUAGAAGUCCUAGCCAGAGAAAUUAGACAAGAAAAAAUAAACAUAAAGAUUCAAACUGGAAAGGAAGAAGUAAAAUUAUUCCUAUUUGCAGAUGACAUUAUGUUAUAUAGAGAAAACUUUAAAGACUCAAUUUUAAAAAAAAAACUGUUAGAAUAAGCAGUUAAUAAUAAUAAAUAAAUUCAGUAAAGUUGCAGUUAACAUACAAAACUUAGUAGUAUUCCUAUAUACCAACAACAAAAUAAAUUGUUAGAAUAAACAGUUAACAGUAAUAAAUUCAGUAAAGUUGUAGUCAACAUACAAAACUUAAUAGCAUUCUGAUACACUAACAACAAAUAUCUGAAAAGAAAUUUAAGAAAACAAUUUCACUCAUAAUAGUGUCAAAAAGAAUAAAAUACAUAAAGAUAAACUUAACUACAAGGUGGAAAACUUAUACUGAAAACUACAAAAUAUUGAUGAAAGAAAACUAAACAAGACACAAACAACUGGAAAGCACUCCAUGUUUAUGGAUUAGAAGAGUUAAUAUUGUUAAAAUAUUCAUACUACCCAAGGCAAACUACACAUUCAAUGCACUCCCUAUCAAAAUCCCAAUGGCAUUUUUACAGCAAUAGAAAAUUUUUUUUAUUCAUGUGGAACUACAAAAGACCAUAAACAGCUAAAUCAUUCUUGAGAAAGAAAAACAAAGCUGGAGGCAUCAUAGUUUUUGACUUCAAAAUAUGUUACAAUGCUACAGUAAUCAAAACAGUAUGGUACUGGAAUAAAAAAAGACAUAUAAACCAAUGGAACACAAUAGGGAAUCCAGAAAUAAAUAUAUGCAUAUACAGUGAAAUGAUCUUCAACAAGAGUGCCAAGAUACACAAUAGGGAAAAGACAGUCUCUUCAAUGGUGUGGGAAAACUGGAUAUCCACAAUCGAAAGAAGAAAAUGAGACUCCUAUUAUAUGCCAUACACAAAAAUCAACCCAAAAUACAUUAAAGGUAAAACCCCAAACUGUAAAACUCUCAGAAGAAAACAUAGGAGGAAAAGUCUCUAGACAUUAGUCUUGGCAAUAAUUUCAUGGAUAUAACACCAAAACUACAGGCAACAAAAACAAAAAUAAACAGCACACCAAACUAAAAAGCUUCUGCAUAUCUGAGGAAACAAUCAACAGAGGAAAAAAGGCAACCUACAGAACAACCAACCUACAGAGUGCUAUUUGCAAACCAUAUAUCUGAUAAGUAGUUAAUAUCCAAAAUACAUAAGGAAUUCCUACAACUCAAAAUUCAAGAGUAAAACAAAAACAAACAAACAAAAACCCCAACUAAUAACCCAAUUUUUUAAAUGGGCUGAGGACUUGAAUAGACAUUGCUCCACAGAAGACUUAAAAAUGGCCAUUAGGUAUAAAAAAAGUUUUCAAUGUCACUAAACAUCAGGGAAAUGCAAAUCAAAAGAACAAUGACUAUCACCUCACACCUGUUAGAGUGGUUAUUAUGAAAAAACAAGACUACAAAUAAUGGUGAGGUCGUGGAGAAACUGAAACUCUUGCACACCACUGGUGGAACGCAAGGUGGUACAGCUGCUGUAGAAAACCAUAUGGAAGUUGCUCAAAAAAAUAAAAAUAGAGCUACCACAUGAUCCAGAAAUCCCACUUCUGGGUAUUUUACCUUUGAGAAAUUUAGGAGUGCUAAUAUAUUGUUUGUUUGUUUUUGAGACAGAGUUUCGCUCUUGUUGCCCAGGCUGGAGUGCAAUGGUGCAAUCUUGGCUCACCACAACCUCCGCCUCCCGGGUUCAAGCAGUUCUCAUGCCUCGGCCUCCCAAGUAGCUGGGAUUACAGGAAUGAGCCACCAUGCCCAGCUAAUUUUGUAUUUUUAAUAGAGACGGAGUUUCUCCAUGUUGGUCAGGCUGGUCUCGAACUCCCGAGCUCAGGGGGUCUGACCACCUCAGCCUCCCAAAGUGCUGGGAUUACAGGUGUGAGCAACCAUGCCUGGCCAAUAUAUCCUUGAGAUCCUAAUUUCACUUCUUUUGGCUGGGUAUUUUUGCCAAAAGAAUUGAAAUUAGGAUUUCAAAGAUAUAUUAGCACGCCUAUGUUCACUGCAGCACUAUUCACAAUACCCAUGAUGUGGAAACAGCCUAAAUGUUUAUUGACAGAUGAAUGGAUAAAGAAAAUGUGGUAUAUAUACACAAUGGAAAACUAUUCAAUCUAUAAAUAAAGGAAAUUCAACAAUGUGAAACAACAUGGGUAAGCCUUAAAGAUAUUAUGCUCAGUGAAAUAAGCCAGCCACAGAAAAACAAACACUGCAUGAUUCCAUUUAUAUGAGGUAUCUAAAAAUAGUCAAAUUCAUAGAAUCAGAGAGCAGAAUUGUGGUGCCAAGGACUGGGGGUUGUGGGAAAUAGGGAGUUACUAAUCAAUGGGCAUGAAGUGUCAGUCAAGCAUGAUGAAUAAGCUCUAGAAAUCUGCUGUACAAUAUUUUACUUAUCGUCAACAGUAAUGUAUUGCACACACUUAAAAAUGUUUUAAGAGGGUAGUUCUCAUAUUAAGUGUUCUUACCAUGAUAAAAUAAAAUGAAAAUGAAAGAAAGAUAAAUCAAUUCAGUGAAUAAAUUAACAAGUACUCUUGAGUCCCCAUGGGUGAAGCCAAGGACACAUAUAGAUUGGGGUUUUGUUGUCACGGGGCAUUUUGACUUGUAUAUGUGUUUACCUACUCAAUAUGUGUUACAGUAUAUGCUAUUUCUCAUUUCCUACAUUUCUAUUCCAAUGACUUCAUGGUAAGCUUCUGACGAAAUGGCGUGGCUAUGCUAGUGAAGAUAAUAUUCCUUGAAACUACUUACUUGAUAUUGCAAUAAUUUCUCCCUACAAACAUGCUAACUAUAGCUCCUGAAUGUAUAAGAAACCAUGAGGUUUUUUUAUUAUGUAUGUGUGCAUGUGUAUAAACAUUUCAUGUAGAACUUGGAAGCUAUAAUUUCUAAAUUCAUUAACAUGGUGGCUGCCCAGCUAUAGUAAAUUAUAUGCCUUCUUCCUCUUCGGGCCAAGCCCACAAUGGUAUGUGCUACAUGAUCGUUAGUGCCCCUCUCACCAUAGCUCUUUGAUCCAAAGUGACCCACAUUGGCUCAAUCAGACUUUCUCCUAGAAGAAUUGGGAAUCUGCUGCUAAAAGACCCAGCACCCCUAGAGCUGAGUCAUUUGACAUGGUCUGUACAUUUCCAUGGCAUCUCACGUUCCCAAGACCUACCUAUUCAACUCUUUCUUAGAUCCUAUGAGAGUCUUCCAGAUCAUUUUAAUAAAUUCCCUAUUUUUAAGGUCACUUUCUGUGACUUCUCACCAAAAGAAACUCUUUAACUAACGUAGCAGCAGUGUUAUAGAAAACUAUCAGUAUUAUACUUUCCUUAUUGGUUCAAAUUUCUCAAAGGUAAAGGAAGACAAUACACCUUGAAGUCCCACUUUAAUGAUUUUCUUAGGUACCAUGCUGUUGGAUCUAACAAAACUGUAGAAGAAGAAAGUAGACUGAAGGAACUACAGGAUCUUUCAUGCCAAUAGAGCAAUUCUAUAUAUAUAUAUCCGUAACAUACAACCUAGUCCUAAGUGAAAAGCCUAUGAUGCAGUUCAUCAGGUUCUUCCAGCAGUGGCCAGCCAUGCUUUGAAUACCAACCAUUUUCUCAGAAUCCUUUCUAGAUUGAGAAACAAUAUAUACUGUCAUGUGUCCCUUAAUGACAGGGAUAUAUGGUAAUAAGUGCUUUGUUAGGCAAUCUUGUCAUUGUAAGAACAUCAUAGAGCAUAUUUACACAAAUAUAGAUGGUAUGGCCUACUAUACACCUAUGCUACAUGGUAUGGCCUAUUGCUUCUAGGUUUUAAAUCUGUACAGCAUGUUACUGUAUUGAAUACUGUAGGCAAUUGUAACACAAUGCUAAUGAUUUGUGUAUCUAAACAGAUAUAAACAUAGAAAAAGUAUAGUAAAAGAAAUCUAAAAGAUUAAAAAUGGAAGCCGGGGGCAGUAGCUCACACCUGUAAUCCCAGCAUUUUGGGAGGCCAAGGCGGGUGGAUCACAAGGUCAGGAGAUCGAGACUAUCCUGGCUAACACAGUGAAACCCCAUCUCUACUAAAAAUACAAAAAAAAUUAGCCGGGCAUGGUGGCGCAUGCCUGUAGUCCCAGCUACUUGGGAGGCUGAGGCAGGAGAAUGGUAUGUACCCGGGAGGCUGAGCUUGCAGUGAGCUGAGAUGGCGCCACUGCACUCCAGCUUGGGAGACACAGCCAGACUCCGUCUCAGAAAUAAAUAAAUAAAUAAAUAAAAUAAGUAAAAUAAAGAUUAAAAAUGGUACACCUGUAUAGGGCAUUUACCAUGAAUGGCGCUUGCAGGACUAGAAGUUACUCUGGGUAAGUCAGUGAGUGAACAUGAAGGCCUAGGACAUUACUGCACACCACUGUAGACUUCAUAAACACUGUACACCUAGGCUACACUAAAUUUAUUAAACAACAGUUUUCCUUUUUCAAUAAUAAGUUAACUUUAGCUAACUGUAACAUUUUUACUUUUUAAUUGUUUUAACUUUUUGACUUGUAAUAACACUUAGCUUAAAACACAAACAUAUUACAUACCUAUACAAAAAUAUUUUUUAUUUACAUUCUCAUUCUAUAAGCUUUUUUCUAUUUUAAAUUUUUUAACUUAUUAAACUUUUUUGUUAAAAACUAAGCACAAACACACACAUUAGCCCAUGCCUACACAGGGACAGGAUCAUCAAUAUCCCUGUCUUCCAGCUCCACACCUUAUCCCCUGGAGAGUCUUCAGGGGAAUAACACGCAUGGAGUUGUCACCUUCUAUGUUAACAAUGCCUUCUUCUGGAAUACCUCCUGAGGACCUGCCUGAGACUGUUUUACAGCUAACUUUUUUUAAAUAAGCAGGAGUACAUCCUAAAAUAACAAUAAAAAGUAUAGUUUACUAAAUAUAUAAUCCAGUAACAUAGUUGCUUAUUAUCAUUAUAAAGUAUUAUGCACUAUAUGUAAUCGCAUUGCUAUACUUUUAUACAACUGUAGCACAGUAGGUUUGUUUAUACCAGCAUCACCACAAACACAUGAGUAAUGCAUUACAUUAUGAUGUUACCACCACUAGGCCACAGGAAUUUUUUAGCUCCAUUAUAAUCUAAAAGACCACCAUCAUAUAAUAUGCAGACUGACUUUAACUGAAACAUUAUUAUGUAGCACGACUCUCUCUCUCUCUCUCUCUCUCUCUCUAUAUAUAUAUAUAUAUAUGUAUAUUUUGUUUUGUUUUGUUUUUGUAUUUGUUUUUGUUUUUUUUGAGACAGUCUCGCUCUGUUGCCCAGGCUGGAGUGCAAUGGUGCAAUCUUGGCUCACUGCAACCUCCGCCUCCUAGUUCAAGCAAUUCUCAUGCCUCAGCCUCCCAAGUAGCUGAGAUUACAGGCACCCACAAGCACACCUGGCUAAUUUUUUGUAGAGAUGGGGUUUCACUAUGUUGGCCAGGCUAGUCCUGAACUCCUGAACUCAGGUAUUUCACCUGCCUUGGCCUCCCAAAGUGCUGGGAUUACAGGCAUGAGCCACUGCACCCAGCAGCACAUGAC
rnacentral:lncRNA from 1 species